CGGACCGGCGCACGGGUGCGUAACGCGUAUGCAACCUACCUUUAACAGGGAGAUAACACUGAGAAAUUGGUACUAAUACCCCAUAAUAUCAUAGAAGGCAUCUUUUAUGGUUGAAAAUUCCGAUGGUUAGAGAUGGGCAUGCGUUGUAUUAGCUAGUUGGUGGGGUAACGGCUCACCAAGGCGACGAUACAUAGGGGGACUGAGAGGUUAACCCCCCACACUGGUACUGAGACACGGACCAG
rnacentral:rRNA from 1 species